rnacentral:rRNA from 1 species
CAACCUGCCCUUCCAGAGGGGGACAACAGUUGGAAACGACUGCUAAUACCGCAUAAUGUAUCCGGGAGGGCAUCUCCUGGAUACCAAAGGAGAAAUCCGCUGAUGGAUGGGCUCACGUCUGAUUAGCUAGUUGGUGAGGUAACGGCUCACCAAGGCUGCGAUCAGUAGCCGGACUGAGAGGUUGAACGGCCACAUUGGGACUGAGAUACGGCCCAG